UGGUCCCUGAGAACACAAUAUGGCCCAACAGCUUUAGUUUAGGACUGGGAUUUAUACAAGUAUGGAUGAAAAUUAUGUUUCCGGUUUUAUCUUUUCUGCUUAGGACCAAAGAAAGGGGAGAGGGAAGGGGAAGUGACUGUUGAUUGCCCAGCUCUUUGUAAAGAGGAUGAGAAAUCUGUCAGAGAAACAUCACUCCUGCCUCAGGCUGGGAACAAACUACUGGGGCCUGCCUAGACCUGAGCCCUUUUAAAUGCAUCACUACAUGUCCACUUUACGUAAUGAGACAUUUAAGCUGUCAGGCUCUGCAUUGGCAGCGAUGUUAUCAUAGGCUUGGGU
rnacentral:lncRNA from 1 species